rnacentral:misc_RNA from 1 species
CCUCAUAUCUCCCAGGUUCAAAAAAAUAAGGUGAAAUUAAUGUUAUAGCAUUAGUAGCUCACUAAUAUACAACUAGUUGCAUAAUUGCCUUUAGCUUUCAAUAUUACUGUUAGAAUGCAGGAUAUAAAAAAUAGAAUCAUACUUCAUUUAAGUAGUUUGUUGUAUGAGGAUAUUGAAAUAAUUAAUUAACUAGGAGCAGAUCAUGUAGAUUAUGAUAAAAAGGGACAGGACACAUGCUUAUAGCUAUUUAAGUAUGAAGAGAGCAGAGUAUAUUGCUAAGUUAAAGCUCUUUAUGCUAUUAACUUUCGUUUUUUAGGUAAGAAUAGAACAGAAGAUAAGUGUGCUAAUCUUGAAUCAGAAAACACACGCCAAAUUCAUGGAUGUUGUUUCCUGCAAUUUUGAAGGACAACAAAUAUAUUUUUUUCUCGAUAUUUUUUAUUCAUUAGAGGCACCAUAAAAUUGAAUAAUCCUAGAACAUGUAGAUAGGGAGCUUACUUCCUGCAUUUUUAAGGUGCAGGAAAACCAACUGAAUUAUAAAAGCCAUUUUCCUUUCUAACUGUAAAAAUGUAUAAUUACAUCUUAAUUCUAAUUGGAAAUCACAAUCUGAUUCAAUGUUUUACUUUUUUCAAAAAAAAAAAUCAUCCAAUUUAUAUUGCUAUCUAUUUUUCUUUAAUUGAUUUUGAGGGAUCGUGGGAAGGAAAAGAAAAGAUUAAGAGAUAAAUACUUGCUUAAUUAAUACUGAUACUAUCAACAUAAGACAACCCAAUGAACAGCUGUGAAGCCCAAAACAACAUAUAGAAAGAGCCAAUCAGAUGCAAAAGACAAGCCACAGAAAAAAAAAGGCUAAUUAUUAGAUAGUGCUCGUUCUUUCACAGAAAAGAGGACCCUUCCUAUAUUAUGGAGAGUGAGUCUCACAUAAUUAUGAGAAAUAGUAUAUAUGCACUGGGUGCACUUAAUAAUUUCUCGAGAGAAAAAUACUUGCACAUUCGCCAAGAUCAAGAAAACGCAUUGGUUCCUCUGGUAAGAGUAAGAAAGAAGUUGAAGGAACAGAUACUGAGCAAGGUUAAAGAGGGAGAGUGUGUCUUGUCCUAUGUUGAUAUCUUAAUUGACUUGCAAUCUCCAAGGAGAAGAGAAAGCAGGAAGAAGGGGAAAUCGUUAGUCUAUGCUCAGAAUUUCUCACCGGGGGCGCAGAGACUACCUCUACAGCUCUGCAUUGGAUCAUGGCGAAUUUGGUGAAGUACCCAUAAAUCCAAGGCAAACUAUUCAUGGAUAUUAAAGGGGUUGUAGGAGAAGGAGAGGAAUUGAUCAAGGAAGAAGCCUUACCAAAGACGAUGCCAUUUGGAUCAGGAGGAAGGAUAUGAAAGGAGACAAAGUUGACUCAUCAGAGCUGCUAGAGUUUUCAGUGGUGAAGAAGUAUCUAUUGCAGGCACACUAAUCUCCAAGGUCUAAACUAAUGUCAAUUACAAGCCCCCAUUUCGUGAAGGGACUUUUCUUGCAAAUUACUUGAACAUUGACCAUUCUUCUACUCUGUUAUUUUAUUUUAACGUCAAAAUCAGAUGACAUAGACAAAAUGUUGUCAACUUGCGAACGAAGAUAAAUAUCAA